AUUACAAGGAAGAAAUUAUGGGACCUACAUAAUAUUUUGGGGAUGAAGAUGUGUCAAUUAGGCAACAACUUGAAUCACCUCAUUCUGUUGAGUUUGCACUUGCUAUAGUUUAUAAACCAAGACACAACAAUAUGCAUCUCAUAAGGGAAGCAAUAUAGCACCAAAGCAUGUGAGAUCUCCCCUGCUAAUAAUCUCCCUCUACACUAUGAUGAUAGGACAACUUUGAAGUGUGAUGAACCUUUCCUUAAAG
rnacentral:misc_RNA from 1 species